GAUGAAGAACGUAGCGAAAUGCGAUACGUAAUGUGAAUUGCAGAAUUCAGUGAAUCAUCGAAUCUUUGAACGCAUAUUGCGCUCUCUGGUAUUCCGGAGAGCAUGCUUGUUUGAGUAUCAGUAAACACCUCAACUUCCAUAUCUUUUUUGAAAUGGGAGUUGGACUUGAGUGAUCCCAACGCUUUUCCUCACCGAAAAGUGGCGGGUUACUUGAAAUGCAGGUGCAGCUGGACUUUUCUCUGAGCUAUAAGCAUAUCUAUUUAGUUUGCCUAAAAAACAGAUUAUUACCUUUGCUGCAGCUAACAUAAAGGAGAUUAGUUCUUGUGCUGACUGAUGCAGGAUUCACAAAGACAGGCUUCGGCCGACUUUGUAAACUCGAUCUCAAAUCAAGUAAGACUACCCGCUGAACUUAAGCAUAUCAAUAAGCGGAGGA
rnacentral:misc_RNA from 1 species